UGGGGAAUUUUGGACAAUGGGCGCAAGCCUGAUCCAGCCAUGCCGCGUGCGGGAAGAAGGCCUUCGGGUUGUAAACCGCUUUUGUCAGGGAAGAAAUCUUCUGAGUUAAUACCUCGGGAGGAUGACGGUACCUGAAGAAUAAGCACCGGCUAACUACGUGCCAGCAGCCGCGGUAAUACGUAGGGUGCAAGCGUUAAUCGGAAUUACUGGGCGUAAAGCGUGCGCAGGCGGUUUUGUAAGACAGAGGUGAAAUCCCCGGGCUCAACCUGGGAACUGCCUUUGUGACUGCAAGGCUUGGGUGCGGCAGAGGGGGAUGGAAUUCCGCGUGUAGCAGUGAAAUGCGUAGAUAUGCGGAGGAACACCGAUGGCGAAGGCAAUCCCCUGGGCCUGCACUGACGCUCAUGCACGAAAGCGUGGGGAGCAAACAGGAUUAGAUACCCUGGUAGUCCACGCCCUAAACGAUGUCAACUGGUUGUUGGGAAGGUUCCUUCUCAGUAACGUAGCUAACGCGUGAAGUUGACCGCCUGGGGAGUACGGCCGCAAGGUUGAAAACUCAAAUGAAUUGACGGGGUCAUAGCUGUUUCCUG
rnacentral:rRNA from 1 species